CACUAUCGUUAACUGAAUACAUAGGUUAACGAGGCGAACCGGGGGAACUGAAACAUCUAAGUACCCCGAGGAAAAGAAAUCAACCGAGAUUCCCCCAGUAGCGGCGAGCGAACGGGGAGCAGCCCAGAGUCUGAAUCAGCUUGUGUGUUAGUGGAACGGUCUGGAAAGUCCGACGGUACAGGGUGAUAGUCCCGUACACCAAAAUGCACAGGUUGUGAACUCGAAGAGUAGGGCGGGACACGUGGUAUCCUGUCUGAAUAUGGGGGGACCAUCCUCCAAGGCUAAAUACUCCUGACUGACCGAUAGUGAACCAGUACCGUGAGGGAAAGGCGAAAAGAACCCCGGCGAGGGGAGUGAAAAAGAACCUGAAACCGUGUACGUACAAGCAGUGGGAGCACCUUCGGGUGUGACUGCGUACCUUUUGUAUAAUGGGUCAGCGACUUAUAUUCUGUAGCAAGGUUAACCGUAUAGGGGAGCCGCAGGGAAACCGAGUCUUAACUGGGCGUUAAGUUGCAGGGUAUAGACCCGAAACCCGGUGAUCUAGCCAUGGGCAGGUUGAAGGUUGGGUAACACUAACUGGAGGACCGAACCGACUAAUGUUGAAAAAUUAGCGGAUGACUUGUGGCUGGGGGUGAAAGGCCAAUCAAACCGGGAGAUAGCUGGUUCUCCCCGAAAGCUAUUUAGGUAGCGCCUCGUGAACUCAUCUUCGGGGGUAGAGCACUGUUUCGGCUAGGGGGUCAUCCCGACUUACCAACCCGAUGCAAACUACGAAUACCGAAGAAUGUUAUCACGGGAGACACACGGCGGGUGCUAACGUCCGUCGUGAAGAGGGAAACAACCCAGACCGCCAGCUAAGGUCCCAAAGUCAUGGUUAAGUGGGAAACGAUGUGGGAAGGCACAGACAGCCAGGAUGUUGGCUUAGAAGCAGCCAUCAUUUAAAGAAAGCGUAAUAGCUCACUGGUCGAGUCGGCCUGCGCGGAAGAUGUAACGGGGCUAAACCAUGCACCGAAGCUGCGGCAGCGACACUAUGUGUUGUUGGGUAGGGGAGCGUUCUGUAAGCCUGCGAAGGUGACCUGUGAGGGUUGCUGGAGGUAUCAGAAGUGCGAAUGCUGACAUAAGUAACGAUAAAGCGGGUGAAAAGCCCGCUCGCCGGAAGACCAAGGGUUCCUGUCCAACGUUAAUCGGGGCAGGGUGAGUCGACCCCUAAGGCGAGGCCGAAAGGCGUAGUCGAUGGGAAACAGGUUAAUAUUCCUGUACUUGGUGUUACUGCGAAGGGGGGACGGAGAAGGCUAUGUUAGCCGGGCGACGGUUGUCCCGGUUUAAGCAUGUAGGCGGAGGUUCCAGGUAAAUCCGGUACCUUUUAACGCUGAGGUGUGAUGACGAGGCACUACGGUGCUGAAGUAACAAAUGCCCUGCUUCCAGGAAAAGCCUCUAAGCAUCAGGUAACAUUAAAUCGUACCCCAAACCGACACAGGUGGUCAGGUAGAGAAUACCAAGGCGCUUGAGAGAACUCGGGUGAAGGAACUAGGCAAAAUGGUGCCGUAACUUCGGGAGAAGGCACGCUGGUGUGUAGGUGAAGUCCCUGCGGAUGGAGCUGAGACCAGUCGAAGAUACCAGCUGGCUGCAACUGUUUAUUAAAAACACAGCACUGUGCAAACACGAAAGUGGACGUAUACGGUGUGACGCCUGCCCGGUGCCGGAAGGUUAAUUGAUGGGGUUAUCCGUAAGGAGAAGCUCUUGAUCGAAGCCCCGGUAAACGGCGGCCGUAACUAUAACGGUCCUAAGGUAGCGAAAUUCCUUGUCGGGUAAGUUCCGACCUGCACGAAUGGCGUAAUGAUGGCCAGGCUGUCUCCACCCGAGACUCAGUGAAAUUGAACUCGCUGUGAAGAUGCAGUGUACCCGCGGCAAGACGGAAAGACCCCGUGAACCUUUACUAUAGCUUGACACUGAACAUUGAGCCUUGAUGUGUAG
rnacentral:rRNA from 1 species